rnacentral:rRNA from 1 species
GACGUAGGAGACGAGCGUUGUCCGGAUUUACUGGGCGUAAAGCGCGCGCAGGCGGCCCCGCAGGUCGGUUGUGAAAGCCCCCGGCUCAACCGGGGGGAGGCGAGCGAAACCGCGGGGCUGGAGGCUGGCAGAGGGUGGUGGAAUUCCCGGUGUAGUGGUGAAAUGCGUAGAGAUCGGGAGGAACACCCGCGGCGAAGGCGGCCACCUGGACCAGGCCUGACGCUGAGGAGCGAAAGCCAGGGGAGCAAACGGG